rnacentral:rRNA from 1 species
GGUUGCGAUCAUACCAGCACUAAUGCACCGGAUCCCAUCAGAACUCCGCAGUUAAGCGUGCUUGCGCGAGAGUAGUACUAGGAUGGGUGACCCCCUCGGAAGUCCUCGUGUUGCAACCCC